rnacentral:rRNA from 1 species
UGGGGAAUAUUGGACAAUGGGCGCAAGCCUGAUCCAGCCAUGCCGCGUGGGUGAUGAAGGCCCUAGGGUUGUAAAGCCCUUUCGGCGGGGAAGAUAAUGACGGUACCCGCAGAAGAAGCCCCGGCUAACUUCGUGCCAGCAGCCGCGGUAAUACGAAGGGGGCUAGCGUUGCUCGGAAUCACUGGGCGUAAAGCGCACGUAGGCGGAUUGCUAAGUCAGGGGUGAAAUCCUGGAGCUCAACUCCAGAACUGCCCUUGAUACUGGCGGUCUCGAGUCCGGGAGAGGUGAGUGGAACUGCGAGUGUAGAGGUGAAAUUCGUAGAUAUUCGCAAGAACACCAGUGGCGAAGGCGGCUCACUGGCCCGGUACUGACGCUGAGGUGCGAAAGCGUGGGGAGCAAACA